rnacentral:rRNA from 1 species
AUGUACAGGGCUGAGCUCAGAGAGCUCCUAAGCAGGCGCAGCGUCUCCAAUCUGCUCAGCAGCGGCUUCCGCGAGAGCCUGGACCAGCUCGUGCACUCGUACGCUCAGAGGCAGGAGCAUGACCCUCCGGCGCCACUCAACCAACACCAUGUCCAGCACCACCGGAUCGACGGAUCGGACCGGGCCGAGCAGGCCGCCGCCGGCCAGAGGCAGCAGCGGCGCUGGCGGAUGGUGCCGCCUCGCCGUGACCGGAGCCGGCAGCCCAUGCAACGGGCAGAUGAACUUGAAGUUGAUGAGGCCAUCCACGACCUGCGGGACGACAUGGCCGUGCUCCAGCGCGGGAUGGCCAGCACGCAGCAGAUGCUGCAGGCGUGCAUGGAGAUGCAGGUCGAGCUGCAGCGCUCCAUCCGGCAGGAGGUCGCCUCUCCCAUGCACCGCUCUCUGUCCCUCCAUGGGACAGUUAGAUGGUACGAUGAUGGAUCACAGUGGGAGCUGGUGAGGAAAGGGACCUGCUGCAUUUGCUGCGACAGCCAGAUCGACUCGCUUCUCUACAGGUGUGGGCACAUGUGCACCUGCUCAAAGUGCGCCCGCGAGCUGCUCCGCGGCGCCGGCAAGUGCCCGCUGUGCCGCGCGCCCAUCGUCGAGGUCGUCCGGGCUUACAGCAUAAUCUGA